AAGAUGAUGAUGAUGAUGAUGAUACUCAUCGUGAGAACACACACAUUAUGAAAGAAAAUAGUGAUAAUGAUGGCGGUGAUAGCAUCAUAGUUAGGGGUUUGACAAAGAGCAUCAGUUACUCUGUACAAAAUUAUAACUGUGAAAUUGAAGGCAUUUCUCUUGGAGACAUGAGUGGAGAUCAAUGGGAAUUGUUCUUGGAGUGCUUUGAGGAGCUUUUGCCUGAGGUUUUUCAAGGCACAAAGGGCAUGGGCACAAAGCAAAGGUUGGGAACUUCUUGCAAGUUCUGAGUUAUGAAUGUUCACAAGAAAUCAACACAACCCAAAUGAGAAACAGGUACUUGCUUGAACCUAGCUAAUUUGGAGUAAUUUGUAUACUGUCCAUAUCAACUUGGUAAUAUAUUACAGAUGAUACUUAGGAAGGAAAAGGGAUAAGGCAGGCUACCAUCCUUUCCAUUUCAUUUCUCACUC
rnacentral:misc_RNA from 1 species